AUCAACACUCCCUCCCUCUGUCCCAUCAAACACUCCCUCCCUCUGUCCCACCAACACUCCCUCUGUCCCACCAACACUCCCUCCCUCUGUCCCAUCAACACGCCCUCCCUCUUGUCCCAUCAACACUCCCUCCCCUGUCCCAUCACACCCCCUCCCACUCAACCUCCCUCUGUCCCAUCAACACUCCCCGUGUCCCCCAACACCUCCCUCUGUCCCACCAACUCCCUCUGUCCCACAACACUCCCUCUGUCCCAUCAACCACUCCUCCCUCUGUCCCACCAACACUCCCUCCCCUUCCCACAACACUCCCUCCCUCUGUCCCAUCAACACUCCCUCCCUCUGUCCAUCAACACUCCUCCCUCGUGUCCAUCACACUCCUCCCUCUGUCCCAUCAAAUCCCUCAACCCACUCCCUCCUU
rnacentral:lncRNA from 1 species